rnacentral:rRNA from 1 species
AUUGAACGCUGGCGGCAUGCCUUACACAUGCAAGUCGAACGGUAACAGGUCUUCGGAUGCUGACGAGUGGCGAACGGGUGAGUAAUACAUCGGAACGUGCCCGAUCGUGGGGGAUAACGAGGCGAAAGCUUUGCUAAUACCGCAUACGAUCUACGGAUGAAAGCGGGGGAUCUUCGGACCUCGCGCGGACGGAGCGGCCGAUGGCAGAUUAGGUAGUUGGUGGGAUAAAAGCUUACCAAGCCGACGAUCUGUAGCUGGUCUGAGAGGAUGAUCAGCCACACUGGGACUGAGACACGGCCCAGACUCCUACGCGAGGCAGCAGUGGGGAAUUUUGGACAAUGGGCGAAAGCCUGAUCCAGCCAUGCCGCGUGCAGGAUGAAGGCCUUCGGGUUGUAAACUGCUUUUGUACGGAACGAAAAGCCUCUUUCUAAUAAAGAGGGGUCAUGACGGUACCGUAAGAAUAAGCACCGGCUAACUACGUG